AUCUGCAGCAGUCAGUAGCCUGCUGCUCCUGGGAGCUAUUUUUGCUGCCAUUUUCAGAGAAACUGUCAAAGAAUAAAGCUAACAGAGAGGAAGGUACCAGGGAUGGAACUCAGGACCUUGAACUUGGUGAGGCAGGUAGUGGCACCACUGAGGUAAAUCCCUGGCCCUGAUUAGGGUUCUUGAAAGCAAUGAAAAUGACUUCUCAGUAGCUGAGGCAAAAAAAAAAAAAAAAAAAAAAAAGAUUGUUUUUGUUAAGAGAGAUAUGCCAUAG
rnacentral:lncRNA from 1 species